rnacentral:siRNA from 1 species
GACAAAGAACUCUACGCUUUGGUC